rnacentral:rRNA from 1 species
UACGUAGGGGGCUAGCGUUGUCCGGAAUCAUUGGGCGUAAAGCGCGUGUAGGCGGUCCGGUAAGUCCGCCGUGAAAGUCGGGGGCUCAACCCUCGGAUGCCGGUGGAUACUGUCGGGCUUGAGUACGGAAGAGGCGAGUGGAAUUCCUGGUGUAGCGGUGAAAUGCGCAGAUAUCAGGAGGAACACCAAUUGCGAAGGCAGCUCGCUGGGACGUUACUGACGCUGAGAC